UGUGUGGUUGGCGGCGCUGAUUGUGGUCCUAAUAUAAUAUGUGUCAAUUCUGAAGGAGGUUAUAAUUGCACUUGUGCAACUGGCUACAUUUCCAGCAAUGGAAAAUAAAUAUUUAAUUCAGGACAAGGAGUUCAGUGUAUUGACAGAAAUGAAUGCAAUGAUCCCAGUUUUUGUGGAAAACACGCAUCAUGUCAUAACACUGCUGGAGGUUUCUACUGCAUCUGUGAUGCUGGAUUCAGACUAAAGUCAGGAGAAACUAACUUCACUGAUACAAGUGAACUCUGCGAGAGUGUAUGUGACGUUGAUAAAUCUAUAUGUGGAGGAGGAGUCUGCAAAAACAGCAAAGACGGCCUUGAAUGUUUGUGCUUAGGAUUCACCAACUAUGGUCACAAACAAAUGAAAUGCACAGGUUAGAGUUCUCUGUUAAAAGUUUAUUUUGGUUCCUAAAUAUCUUAUAUUUCAUGCUUUCCCAUAAUUCAUAACACAAAACAGUUGCCUUAGUUUUAACAUGAGCACAAAACAGCUAUGGAACAUUGUAUUGACAUAAAUGUGCUCCAGCCCAAAACAUUAUAUGCAGUGUGAGUGCGGGACAGCAAGGGAGCGGGAAGAGGGGAUAAUCGCGCUCGGGUUUGGUAC